GUCAGGAUGGCUGAGUGGUGUAAGGCGCUGUGUUCAGGUCGCAGUUUCCCCUGGAGGCUUGGUGUCAAAUCCCCCUUCUGACA
rfam:Danio rerio chromosome 4, GRCz11 reference primary assembly.